UGGGGUAUGGCCAAGCGGUAAGGCAGUAGGCUCUGAACCUUCUAUGCUCUGGUUCGAAUCCAGAUACCCCAG
rnacentral:tRNA from 1 species